AGUGAACGCUGGCGGUAGGCCUAACACAUGCAAGUCGAACGGCAGCACAGUAAGAGCUUGCUCUUACGGGUGGCGAGUGGCGGACGGGUGAGGAAUACAUCGGAAUCUACUUUUUCGUGGGGGAUAACGUAGGGAAACUUACGCUAAUACCGCAUACGACCUACGGGUGAAAGCAGGGGAUCUUCGGACCUUGCGCGAUUGAAUGAGCCGAUGUCGGAUUAGCUAGUUGGCGGGGUAAAGGCCCACCAAGGCGACGAUCCGUAGCUGGUCUGAGAGGGUGCACCGCCACUGUGACGCUGAGACGGUGCAGACUCCUACGGGAGGCAGCAGUGGGGAAUAUUGGACAAUGGGCGCAAGCCUGAUCCAGCCAUACCGCGUGGGUGAAGAAGGCCUUCGGGUUGUAAAGCCCUUUUGUUGGGAAAGAAAAGCAGCAGGUUAAUACCCCGCUGUUCUGACGGUACCCAAAGAAUAAGCACCGGCUAACUUCGUG
rnacentral:rRNA from 1 species